rnacentral:rRNA from 1 species
CCUACGGGAGGCAGCAGUGGGGAAUAUUGGACAAUGGGGGAAACCCUGACCCAGCGACGCCGCGUGAGUGAAGAAGUAUUUCGGUACGUAAAGCUCUAUCAGCAGGAAAGAAAAUGACGGUACCUGACUAAGAAGCCCCGGCUAACUACGUGCCAGCAGCCGCGGUAAUACGUAGGGGGCAAGCGUUAUCCGGAUUUACUGGGUGUAAAGGGGGCGUAGACGGCAGCUCAAGUCUGGUGUGAAAUCCCGGGGCUAAACCCAGGAACUGCUAUGGAAACUGGUAAGCUGGAGUGCAGGAGAGGAGAGCGGAAUUCCUGGUGUAGCGGUGAAAUGCGUAGAUAUCAGGAGGAACACCAGUGGCGAAGGCGGCUUUCUGGACUGUAACUGACGUUGAGGCUCGAAAGCGUGGGGAGCAAACAGGAUUAGAUACCCGUGUAGUC